GCUGGUGUUGCUCAGUGGUUAAAGCAUUGGCCUGCAGACCAAAGGGUUGCAGAUUCUAUCCCUGACCCCCAGCG
rnacentral:tRNA from 1 species